CCCAUGGUGUUUUGUGGCCUCCCAGGGGAUGACGGUAGCUGUCUGGGAGAGGGAGCUCCUGCUUCAGCGGAGCAGAGAGCAUCUCAGGGGCAUUCCGGCUUGGAUGUGGGUCGGGCGUAAUGCUUGGUUUACGGUGUUUAGAUGGCAGAGCAGGCCUAGCUGGGCUCUCGAUGGGCUUGCUACCUGGGAACAAGGCCUGUGGAAUGGCUAAGCUAUUGCUGUUCAUUGAGGGGACUUGUUUGAUAUUUUUGCAGAUGCCGAGGGAGGAGUCGUGCAGGGCGAUGGAGGAGGGCCGAGGAUAGCGCUGUAAGCAGGUGGUGGUCGAGCUUGAACAUGGCAGUUGGAUCUGAUGGCGUCCAGGUGCCGCAAUCAGCCUUCAGAGGGGAGACGACGCAUGGCGACGAGAGGUCCGAGAAGAUGGUGUGCGGCUGCCCUUGGGACUGGAUGCGCGUUUGAGG